GAUGAAGAACGUAGCGAAAUGCGAUAAGUAAUGUGAAUUGCAGAAUUCAGUGAAUCAUCGAAUCUUUGAACGCACAUUGCGCCUUCUGGUAUUCCGGGGGGCAUGCCUGUUCGAGCGUCAUUAUAACCACUCAAGCUCUCGCUUGGUAUUGGGGUUCGCGGUUCCGCGGCCCCUAAAAUCAGUGGCGGUGCCUGUCGGCUCUACGCGUAGUAAUACUCCUCGCGAUUGAGUCCGGUAGGUCUACUUGCCAGCAACCCCCAAUUUUUACAGGUUGACCUCGGAUCAGGUAGGGAUACCCGCUGAACUUAAGCAUAUCAAUAAGCGGAGGA
rnacentral:misc_RNA from 1 species